rnacentral:lncRNA from 1 species
UGAGACUUAAAAAAUGUACAUUUUAAUGCAUAGAGCACCAUGCAACUUACUCUUCUCCAACAUCUCUGAGUAUGUUAGUGAGUUGAUUAGCUAUCCCUAAUGCCAAUGCAGCAUUAUACACACUCUCUGUGCUAGCUAAAGAUUCAGGUGCAAUGCCCAUCACAGGCACACUCAUCAACCCGACAGUGCCGGCUACAUAAUAGCAAUAGAGAUAUAGUUCGUCGAAGUUUUUGUAUCUCGAUUUCCUUAAGUCCAUCCUCAUUCCUUCUAUCAUGUCUUUGAAAGGCUGCAAACAGAGUGGAAAAUGAUCUAUGGGUAGCAAUAUAAGUUGGAUGCCAACUAGAAGCUGUUCUCUAGCUCAGUUUAAGGUAAGCACAAGCCAGUCUAAUGCAAGUAACCUGAAUAUUGACUGGAAAUUUAUUAACCGUGUUGGCUAAAGCGGCAUCGAGCAUAUCAAACGGACGACCGUUGAAUAGAUCUUCCAACCUUGCUUCCCACCUAUCUAAAGCAGUGGGAGUUAUAUGCGGUGCAUUUGGUCCGUCAACGAGCUCAUCGGUCCUCCGACACCAGACUGUAUAAAUGCAUAUAACAUCAUAAGAAAGUGAUCAAAUAAUUACUGUCAUACAUCAUACACUUAAAAGACUCACCAUAGAUAGCCCAUAUAGCCCUACGUCUUUCAGGGGUCAUCAGCAAAGUUCCUAGACAAGGCAAAAUUAAGCAUAAUUGUUUUUUUUUUUCUAGUAUUUGAUCGAAACUCUAAUUCAAAGCUACUGUAUAACAAGAAUUAGAAAAGGCUAACCCAAAUAAAAGGUUUUUGCAUACUCGGCACAAAUUUCACCACAACGAUCAUAUGCUUCAUUUAACAAGCUCAAAUCACCAGGUACAACAACAUCCCCACGAGGUGAUCUCAAUUGCUUCUUAACCAAAGCUGCCUGUUUCAACACCACAUUGUAAACCUUCUCCUCUGAUGACAUAGCUAUUUCACCUGCUGAGCUAGUGGCUGCCAUGGUUGACAUCACAGUGACCUU